rnacentral:rRNA from 1 species
UGGGGAAUAUUGGACAAUGGGCGCAAGCCUGAUCCAGCCAUGCCGCGUGGAUGAUGAAGGCCCUAGGGUUGUAAAGUCCUUUUAACGGGGAAGAUAAUGACGGUACCCGUAGAAUAAGCCCCGGCUAACUUCGUGCCAGCAGCCGCGGUAAUACGAAGGGGGCGAGCGUUGUUCGGAUUUACUGGGCGUAAAGGGCGCGUAGGCGGCGAUGUAAGUCAGGCGUGAAAGCCCCGGGCUCAACCUGGGAGGUGCGCUUGGGACUACAUUGCUGGAGUUCGGGAGAGGAGCGUGGAAUUCCCAGUGUAGAGGUGAAAUUCGUAGAUAUUGGGAAGAACACCGGUGGCGAAGGCGGCGCUCUGGACCGAUACUGACGCUGAGGCGCGAAAGCGUGGGGAGCAAACAGGAUUAGAUACCCUGGUAGUCCACGCUGUAAACGAUGUGUGCUAGACGUUGGGGAGCCUAGCUCUUCGGUGUCGCCGCUAACGCUGUAAGCACACCGCCUGGGGAGUACGGCCGCAAGGUUA